GGAAGAGCCAUGAAUCAGACUUAAUAAAGAAAGCCUUACACAGAGAAUCGCUGGCCCUGUUCUCAAAACUGAAUAAGAUAAAGGAGCUCUUAUCAAACCCUGAGACCCGGAUGAAAAUUAACAGGGAACUGUUUCAAGACAGACAAACAGCAGUCAUUAAAAAGUCAUGUUGACUCCAACUCUCCAGCUAUGGUAAAUAGUGAUGGUGUAAAGAUCUCAUAUGGCUGUUUUAUGAUGAAAAAAUAUUGUUUUUACAAAUUUUCCAUCUGUGUUUUUUUUUUUUUAAAACACUACAGCCAAUAUAAAUGAAAGCCAAUAUAGUGUGUGGUAUUGUGUUAAAAUACAUGCACAGAAAAGAACAGACUGUUUACUGAUGAGUUACAGUAGCUCUCUAGAUCAUUUUUUGGAUGGAUGGAUGAAUGGAAGGAAAAAGUUAAGGAUGCAGGUCUCUGUCAUGAUUAUGCCACAGAAACACUAAUUUCUGAUCAAACACUGUGGCCAUUCUAGAACACAUACUCUCAAAGUGAUUUUUAAAAUGUAUAGCUGAAGACGACAUUUUUAAUGAUUAGUCUUUUCUGUAUAUGCUGGUGUUUUGGGUUGGCACUGAUUCUUGUUUGUUUGUUGAUCAGCACUUGAAUACACAUGCUGAAAUGUUUUUUCUGCUAUUGUUUACAUGCAAGCAAGAAUGUUUUAAUCUCUCAAGGAUUUCACCCUCAUUAUUUAUUGUUCAAAUCAUCAUUGUUCAGAAUAAUUUGCCUUGUCACUUCUAUGGAAACAAGAUACUUGUUUUUAUUUCUGUUAUUUCCUCCAUCUCUUUGCCCUCUGCUAUGUGAAAAGGCAUCUGAACCUAUAUUUCACGUGCACUCAACAUAUCUACUGAGUUCAGUGGAAGUAUUGGGUGCACACACACAAAAAUGCAGAAUUGGGCCCAAUAUUAGCACUUUUAAAGCAUUUGUGGAAACUACCUACAAUUGUAAAAUCAUCUAGUUAAUGAUACAUUCUGUGAUCAAUAUCAGAUUUGUGCUGUAAAACUGCAGUAUAAGGUUUUAUUCAUCAACUAUGAAAUUAUAAUGGUAUUUUAUCUCACGGAUCAGCUAUUUUUUUCCUCAAGUGAUAAAUGAGAGCAUAUUGAAAAAUGCAUCUUAUGUAUUCGAGUCCAUCUUCCUAAUA
rnacentral:lncRNA from 1 species